rnacentral:rRNA from 1 species
CCUACGGGUGGCAGCAGUGAGGAAUAUUGGUCAAUGGGCUUACGCCUGAACCAGCCAAGUCGCGUGAGGGAAGACUGCCCUAUGGGUUGUAAACCUCUUUUGUCAGGGAGCAAUUGGCGCUACGUGUAGCGUUAUCGAGAGUACCUGAAGAAAAAGCAUCGGCUAACUCCGUGCCAGCAGCCGCGGUAAUACGGAGGAUGCGAGCGUUAUCCGGAUUUAUUGGGUUUAAAGGGUGCGUAGGCGGAAUGCCAAGUCAGCGGUAAAAUCGCGGGGCUCAACCUCGCUCCGCCGUUGAAACUGGCGUUCUUGAGUGGGCGAGAAGUAUGCGGAAUGCGUGGUGUAGCGGUGAAAUGCAUAGAUAUCAGGAGGAACACCGGCGGCGAAGGCGGCCUGCUGGACCGCGACUGACGUUGAGGCUCGAAAGCGUGGGGAGCGAACAGGAUUAGAUACCCUAGUAGUC